AAAAAGUUUUCUAAGAUAUAUUAUUUAAUAUCUUUUAGCACCUCGUCUUGAAAAUGUGAAACCAGAUUUGGGAUAUCAUGCUAUCAUAAAAGAAAAUGAGAGAACAGUUGAAAUCAGUCCAAGGAUAAAAGUUGUAGAUGCUGACGUAUGUAGUUUUAUAAUUACAAAUAAACAUCAGAAAGAGGUGCCAUUUAUUGUAGAGAUUAUUGAUAAAACUCGUGGUGAAGCUCAGUUGGUAUCCAAGAGAGAAUUGAAUUGUGAAAAACGCAAGAAAUAUAAGUUUGAAAUUGCAGCUGUUGGAUGUGAUGGUCAAAUAUCUGAAAAUGCAACUGUACAUCUAACA